UCAUAUCCCUAAAAGCCAUAUAGGAGAAUUUCAAAUGCUUGAGAGCCGCAAUCAGUUUCUUUGUGUGUCAAUGGGAGUCGCAUUGAAGGUAUUAAAGGGCCGCAUGUGGCUCGCUAGCCACAAUUUUCCCACUGUGGCUAUAUAUUAUUUUAAUGAACAUAAAGAGCACAAAACUACAGGGAUCAGAAACAUAAAACAAGAAAGCUUUUCUGAUAUCAGACUAUUGCCGGAAUCGAAUCCAUAUCAAUUGCAUUGACCAAUAGCAGAAUUUAUCAAUAAUUAUAAAUUCUGAAGUACGAGUUGGUUGUAAGUCGAAGACUACUACCUGCAACAUACUAUACCAAUAUUUAAGUGCUUUUUGAAACCCAGCAGGUCGCUGGGCUUCGAAGAGCAAUUGAAUAUUAGUAUAAUAGUCGACUGGACAUCCAAUCGAUAAAUCUAUUAUAUUAAUGCCUAUCUCUAUUCGAAGGUUCUAGAAUUGAAUCCGUAUUUUUUUUUUUAUCACUGACGUCAUCUUUCUUCAGACAUUUUAUCGAUCUGGUCACAGCUGGUUCUGGUAAGAUGGCCGCUCAGUAACCAACUGUUAGAAUGCAGGCAUAAAUCAGGAAAAUAUAACUGCAAUAUAUAGCAUAUAGUUUGCAUCGAUAUGAAAAAAUCAUAAAUUAUGAUUUUCUCCGAAUCAAAAGCAAUUAAAUUUGAAUAAAAUUUAAUUAAGCGUUAUAAAAAAAUCCAUGAUGUUAACUAUUACUACUACGCAUUCGUAUAUCAGACAAACACAGAUUUCAUCAUAUUCGAUUUUUAAAAUCUUCCUUAAACUAUUUAAUUUUAAAUCACCGGCACAACUAAGCAUUUUUUUAAUUAAAAAUUAAAUUUUGAAUGGAAAAACAUUUUAAAUUACAUUUUUCUAUUUUAUUAACUUAAAGAUCAUCAAAAUUUUCCAAGACUUUACAUUUAGAAAUAGCUUGCAUGCUUAAUAUGCAUGUACAAAUGCUUUCCUUUUAAGGCCAGUUCGGUCUUAAAAAGAAAGCAUACAAGCA
rnacentral:lncRNA from 1 species